AAGUCACGCUUAGCUUCUGCAAGUAUUUGUUUUGCAGUAUUGAAAAACUCCUUCAUGAGGAGGGCACAGAGUUCUGCCUGGAGUGUGAGGCCAGUGUUGCUUGGCUGCAGCUGCCAUUUGCCACUGAUGAUCAUUCUUCUCUUCCCCUGUGAGAGUAAGGAGAGGAUGCAGUCUGAGUGGU
rnacentral:snoRNA from 1 species